CUCUGCAGGGUGGCGGUGGCGUACAGCUCCUGGGAGUGCUUGCUGUACUGAUCGGCAGCGUGAACCAGCCGCUUGGUGCUCUGUAUGGUGACUGCCAGGUGAGCAAGGGGCUCACAGAUGGAAGUAGCUGCUGUCUUUUGAGCUGGACUGUUCGGAUUGCAGCAGGCUGCAUCUCCACAAUGAUUAUACUCACAAGCUGGCAUCAGCAGAUCCCAGAAUGAUGUGGUUCUUGGCACUCCUGACUGUGCCGAGUGUGCAGGCACUGGCAUUGCCACUGGGGCAGGAGUAGGGUGCUUCCCAGCUUCACAAGAGAUCAGUACAAUUUACUGUUAAAUCAAAUACAUGAAAAGACAAAAAACUAAUAAUUAACAGAAGUAUUGUCCUAAUAAAUUUU